CUUCAGCCAAGUAAGCUGACCAGGCCCUUUUCCCAGAUGUCUAACGACUGCAUACAGCAGCUUUCUUAGUAGUACCUGCAGUCUGUUGUUCAUUAUGGGUUGCCCCAAGUACAUGCAAACAGAC
rnacentral:snoRNA from 1 species